GGGUGCUUAGCUCAGUGGUAGAGCGUCUCCCUUACACGGAGAGGGUCGGGGGUUCGAAACCCUCAGCACCCACCA
rnacentral:tRNA from 3 species